CUAAUAACUACUAAAAAGUGUUUUAAAAAACUCUUGCUGAUAUUAAGAACACCAAUCUCUAUUCUCUCCACAGAACCUAUAAAACCACACCACACAUAAAAGAAGGAAUGCCAUAUGUGACUCUCUUCUCGUCAGCACUGCUAAUCAUGAGGAUAAAGGUGCCACGUGGGACUGGAACCCACCUUCUGCCAGAAGCAAGCCUGAAUUCAUGAACUUGCCAUUUUCUUUGCUCUCCGUGGGACCUGCCAGACAGGCACCUCCGUGGAAGGACUAUUUACCCAACACCAACACCUGCCAAGGAAAACAGAAAGAAAAACAGGAGGCAAAGAAGGUGGAACGGCUCACACUGGAGCCCAGGGAGGGUCUGUCCACUCAACCAAGAAGGCGAGCAUGGAAGCUUUGCUAGAAAGAGCCCUCAGUUCUAGCAUCUCAAUCAGGAGAAGCCAGCGAAAUGUAUGAACUCUGUGUGAGGAUCUCCUGAGCAUAGUGUUUUUAAAGAGUGUGGCUUCCUGGUCAGACUCCCUGGGUUCACAUCUCCGCUCUGCCAUUUGCCAGCUGUAUACCUUGGGGUAACUUACUCAACCGCUAUUCCUCAGACUUCUGAUCUUCAAUGAGGAUAAUCACAUUUACCUUGCAGUGCUAUUGUAAAGGUAAAGUGAGUUAACAUACUUCAAAACCAAAGGAUGAUUUUUGCACAUAUGAAGUGCAUAAUAAAUGUUU
rnacentral:lncRNA from 12 species